UACAGAGGUCUCAAGCGUUGUUCGGAUUCAUUGGGCGUAAAGGGUGCGUAGGCGGCGCGCUAAGUCAGGUGUGAAAUUUCGGAGCUUAACUCCGAAACUGCAUUUGAUACUGGCGUGCUUGAGGACUGGAGAGGAGACUGGAAUUUACGGUGUAGCAGUGAAAUGCGUAGAGAUCGUAAGGAAGACCAGUGGCGAAGGCGGGUCUCUGGACAGUUCCUGACACUGAGGCACGAAGGCCAGGGGAGCAAACGGG
rnacentral:rRNA from 1 species